rnacentral:rRNA from 1 species
AUGUGUGGUAGAAAAUAUGUGCAUCCUCUUGGCACUCUCAGUUCCACACUUCCCCUAGUCCUUGUCCUCUGCUCCCUUGUUCAUGCAUCUUCAUUAGGUGCUACGGCACUCCAAAAUGAUUCUAACACCGACCUCCAUGCUCUCCGCUGCCUCAAACUCCAUCUCACCAGCUCUGCUGGACUCCUAGCCUCCUGGGAAAAUGACUCGCUGCCGUUCUGCGGUUGGUCCGGUGUUACUUGCAGCAAGAGACACGCAUCUCGUGUCGUUGCACUGGACCUCGAGUCACUUGACCUCAGUGGACAGAUACCGUCUUGUGUAAGCAAUCUCACUUUCCUCAGGAGAAUCCACAUCCCAAACAAUCAACUUACUGGCCAAAUACCACCUGAACUUGGCCGUCUAAAUAGGCUGCGGUACCUUAACCUCAGCACAAAUCAUCUUAGUGGCACGAUCCCGAGCACUCUGUCUUCAUGCUUUCGCCUUCAAAUUAUUGAUCUUGGGAGUAACUCCCUUCAUGGUGAGAUCCCCCAAACCCUGAGCGGAUGUUCACAUAUCCAACAGCUCAACUUGGGUCACAACAUGCUUAGAGGAGGUAUCCCACAAGGGUUGGGGAUGCUCCGCAACCUUUCCGUUUUGGAUCUUGCUAGCAAUAGUCUGACGGGCAACAUUCCACUUUCACUUGGAAGCAGCUCUUAUCUUCAUUCUGUUGUUCUCACAAACAAUAGCCUCACAGGACCUAUCCCGCCUCAUCUAGCUAAUAGUUCAUCACUUCAACUUUUAUCCUUGACAAGAAAUAGCCUGGGUGGAGAGAUUCCUUCUGCGCUGUUUAACAGCACGUCACUUCAAAAGUUAUCCCUAGGACUGAACAAUUUUGUCGGGUCCAUACCAGCUUCGUCGAACAUUGAUUCACCCUUACAAUACCUUAUCUUGCAAUCAAAUAAUCUUUCUGGCACCAUACCUCCUUCUUUAGGGAAUUUUUCUUCCCUUCGCCGGCUCUCGCUAGCAGAUAAUAAUUUCCAAGGUAGAAUCCCGAUGAGUAUAGGCAAUAUUCCGUACCUGCAAGUACUAGAUCUCACUUAUAACUUCUUGUCAGGGACUGUCCCUGGCACUCUCUACAACAUGUCAGCACUUACAUACCUUGGCAUGGGUACAAACAUACUUGUAGGGGAAAUUCCAUAUAACAUCGGGUAUACCCUUCCAAAUAUCCAGACUUUGAUUAUGCAAGGAAACCAAUUCCAAGGCCAAAUCCCCACUUCACUAGCCAACACAACCAAUCUUCAGAUGAUCGACCUCCGAGAGAAUCAAUUCCAUGGUGUUGUUCCUUCUCUUGGAACUCUUACUGGUCUAGUCGAUCUAGAUCUAGGUGGGAAUCAACUUGAAGCAGGAGAUUGGUCUUUCUUAUCCUCAUUGAGCAAUUGCACACAACUGAUGAAGUUGCGUUUGGAUGAAAAUAACCUUCAGGGUGUCUUGCCCAAGUCCAUUGGAAGCCUUUCAAAAAGCUUAGGGUUACUGCUAUUGAGAUCAAAUAAAAUAUCUGGCAUUAUACCACACGAGAUACAGUACUUGACAAGCCUCGAACUUCUUUACAUGGACCAGAAUUUGCUUACUGGAUAUAUUCCCGAAUCACUUGGAAAUCUUCCAAACUUAUUUGUCUUAAGCUUGUUCAAGAACAAACUUUCCGGAUCAAUUCCGCUUUCUGUUGGUAAUCUGAGUCAACUGAGUGAGCUCUAUUUACAGGAAAAUAAUUUGAGUGGUCCUAUCCCAGGAGCUUUAGCAGGCUGCAAAAAGUUGGAACAACUGAACCUCUCUUGUAACAGCUUUGAUGGAAGAAUACCAAAGGAGCUCUUUACUCUUAUCUCCCUUUCCCAGUGUCUGGACUUGUCUCACAACCAACUCUCUGGACAGAUACCUCUGGAGAUUGGCAAUCUGAAAAAUCUUGGGCCACUAAAUAUUUCCCAUAAUCAAUUGUCUGGACAAAUACCCCCCACUCUAGGUCAGUGCGUCCAUUUGGAGUCCCUCCACAUGGAGUGUAACCUCUUUCAUGGGAAAAUCCCUCACUCCUUCAAAAGUUUGGGAGGAAUCAUUGAGAUGGAUCUAUCUCAAAACAACUUAUCUGGUGAAAUCCCUGACUUCUUUAAGUUCUUUAAGUCUAUGAAGCUUCUCAAUUUGUCCUUCAAUAACCUCGAGGGUCCAGUACCAUCAGAUGGGAUAUUUCAGAAUGGAAGCAAGGUUUUCAUUCAAGGGAACGUGAAGUUAUGUACCAGCAUUCCAUUGCUACAGCUGCCAUUUUGCAAUGCAGAGGCAUCCAAACAAAGGAAUGUAUCCAGCAUUUUCAAGAUAGUAGGAUUUACAGUUCUCUCCUUGGUCCUGUUAUCAUGCUUUGCAACCAUUAUUUUGAAGAAGAAAAAGAAACUCAAACAAGAAGCUCAUCCAUCCUGCAAAGAGUUGAAGAAGUUCACAUAUGCAAAUUUAGUGAGAGCAACAAAUGGUUUCUCACCAGAUAACUUGGUCGGUUCAGGAAAAUAUGGGUCUGUGUACAGAGGUAGAAUUGAAUCUGAAGAACAUGAAGUUGCCAUCAAAGUUUUCAAACUCAAUCAACUCGGAGCACCAAAAAGCUUCAUUGUUGAGUGUGAAGCAUUGAGAAAUACUCGUCACAGGAAUCUUAUAAGGGUGAUUACUGCAUGCUCAACGAUUGAUCCAACAGGACAUGAUUUCAAAGCUAUUGUUCUUGAAUAUAGUGUUAACGGCGACCUGGGAAGUUGGCUCCAUCCAACAGUCCAUGAGGAUGGUCAGAGAAGGCCAUUGAGUUUCGGUACAAGAAUAGUAAUAGCAGUGGACAUAGCUGCAGCUUUGGAUUACCUCCAUAACCAAUGUGUGCCUCCUAUGGCACACUGCGAUCUGAAGCCUAGCAAUGUCCUUUUGGAUGAUUUCAUGGGCGCACGUGUUGGCGAUUUCGGGUUGGCUAAGUUCCUGCAUAGUUACAAUUCUUCGGACAUUCAUACUUCUACAAGCUUAGUGGGGCCAAGAGGAUCAGUUGGAUACAUUGCCCCAGAAUAUGGCUUUGGGAGCAAAAUCUCCACUGAGGGCGAUGUAUUUAGCUAUGGAGUCAUCAUCUUAGAAAUGCUAACAGGAAAGCGUCCAACUGAUGAGAUGUUUAAAGAUGGCCUGAGCCUUUACAAAUUUGUUGAAAAAUCAUUUCCUCAAAAGAUUGAGGAGAUUCUAGACCCUAGAAUAGUUCCAGGUUAUAGAAAUGAAGGUGAGGAUGCAGGCGGUGAUUUAGACCGGGAAGCUCAUCCAAUGGUUGCAAUGAACUGCAUCAUAAAGCUCAUUGAGCUUGGGUUGUUGUGCUCUGCGGAGACACCUAAAGAUCGGCCAACUAUACAGCACAUAUACAACGAAGUUAUCACAAUCAAAGAAUCAUUCUCAGCAUUGCAGAGCUGA